rnacentral:rRNA from 1 species
UACACUCCUACGGGAGGCAGCAGUGGGGAAUAUUAGACAAUGGGCGCAAGCCUGAUCCAGCCAUGCCGCGUGAGUGAUGAAGGCCCUAGGGUUGUAAAGCUCUUUCACCGGUGAAGAUAAUGACGGUAACCGGAGAAGAAGCCCCGGCUAACUUCGUGCCAGCAGCCGCGGUAAUACGAAGGGGGCUAGCGUUGUUCGGAUUUACUGGGCGUAAAGCGCACGUAGGCGGACUAUUAAGUCAGGGGUGAAAUCCCGGGGCUCAACCCCGGAACUGCCUUUGAUACUGGUAGUCUUGAGUUCGAGAGAGGUGAGUGGAAUUCCGAGUGUAGAGGUGAAAUUCGUAGAUAUUCGGAGGAACACCAGUGGCGAAGGCGGCUCACUGGCUCGAUACUGACGCUGAGGUGCGAAAGCGUGGGGAGCAAACAGGAUUAGAAACCCCGGUAGUCCCAU